AGAAUUAGAAAUAGAAUUAGAAGAGUGAAAAGAAAAGGAACAAAGAGUUUGAUCAGCGUCGGGAAUUUUGUUGGAUCGAAUUGGUGAACUUUUAAUUUACGUGAUUUUUAAAUCGAACACGAAUACUGGUUAGGAUGGAUGUGACGGAUGAUCAUUACGAUUCCGUCGCAGCCGAAAAUGAGGAAGGGAAAUUCGACGUUGAGGAUAAAGAGGAGAAGAAGAACGACGAUGAUGAUUCGCCCACGGUCGAGGAGACCUACGAGGUCACUACUACCAAACGUAAGACCAUCCGCACCAACUAUAAGAUCCAAGAAACUUCUGCGUCCACUAAAACAACCACCAUGACAACAGCGGCAAAGCUAUACGGCAAGGAUUUAAGUGAAUACGAAGACGUUGACGUGGACGAAUUGCUGGCACAACUAACGCCCGAAGAAAUCAAUAUACUUGCCAAGGAAGUUGAUCCAGAUGACAGUUUUAUGCCUCCGUCGCAGCGUUGUAGUUACGAAUGCGACAAGAGUCCCACAGGUCCGCUUAACCGAAAGAAACUCAUCGAACAUAUUAACAAACAAGCUUUGGAAACACCGGAUAGACCAGAAUUAAAACCUUAUGUACCUGGAGUUAUUAGAGGAAAAAAAUGGAUUCCACCGUCUCAAGAAAGUGCGAAAGAAAAAGAAGCGGAAGAGCAAAUUGCGAUAGAUCUUGGCGAAGAAUAUGAACAAGCAUUAUCUAAUGCGACUCAAGAAGAAAUUAUUGAUCUUGCUGCAAUUCUUGGAUUCCAUUCUAUGAUGAAUCAGGAUCAAUAUCACGCAUCUUUAUUAAAUUCUGGACAGCCUGUGGGAUUGGGCUGGGACGGAGUGACAAAAGCUAGUCAACCAAAGCCUUAUCCGAUGGAACCACCUAAUGAUACGGAUGUUGAUGCAACUAUUAAACAAGUUAGAGAUGAUGAUUCUUCGCUAACCGAAUUAAACUGGAAUAAUAUUAAAAAUAUCUCAGAUGAGAAAUUUAUCCAGUUGUUCGAAGGAUUAGAAGGAAACACGCAUCUUGAGUCAUUGAGUUUAACCAAUGUUGGACUUACUGACAAAACGGCCCAAAGGUUGGCAGAAGCCAUGGAGAAAAACUCUACGCUUAGAGUAUUAAACGUGGAGACAAAUUUUGUAAGUCCACCUGUGACAGUGAGACUCAUUAGAGCCCUUCUUAAGACCAAAUCGAUCGAAGAAUUCCGAUGUUCCAAUCAGAGAUCACAAGUAUUGGGUAACAAAAUUGAAAUGGAAAUCACACAAUUGGUAGAACAAAAUCCAACGUUAUUACGACUUGGACUUCACUUUGAGUUUAAUGAUGCCAGACAUCGCGUUGCUGCACAUUUACAACGUAACAUCGAUAGGAUCUGUCGUGUGGAACCUAUGGAACGCGCUAAGGUCGUAGCGAUCGGUUCGGGUCGUGACACAUUCACCGUUCUUCCUGUAGGAGCUCUAAAAAAUCGUGGCUAGCGCUAAAAACACGGCGCAUACGGCAGUCCCGGCUCGGGGUGGCGACAUCUUAACGCGAGUGGCGUUCGCCUAGAUCGCCUACGCCGCACGGGAAGGGCUUCCCGCAACUAUACCAUCGGCUGGGCCCUACAUUGACGAUCAUAUAACGAUGGCGACGACGAUAUAUGAUGACAUUAAGGACGACGAUCGAGUAAAUUAAAUUAAAAUGAAAUAUUCGAAGGAUCCUUUUAUCUUAUCUUUAUCCUAUUUAAUUAGACGUAUGCUUACACUUUUAUUUCUUCGAUUCAUCGACAAAGGCACGUAUAUGUAUGUAUAUAUAUAUGUAUGUAUGUAUGUAUGUAUGUAUGUAUGUAUGUAUGUAUGUAUGUAUACAUAUAAACACACACACGCAUACACACGAUAUGCACUAUGCUAUAUAGCGAUCGAACUAGUAACAAUUAUAUCUAUUGGUAAUAAUGAAAUAUUGAAGAAUUAUCUCUAAUAACUAAUUAUGAUUAAUCGCAUCAAUUUUUUUAUUACACUUUUUUUCUAAUUCGAAUCGAAAAUCAACGAUGUUGCUUUUCGAUAUAUUCAAAUCGAAAGGAUACAAAAAGCGAUUAUUUCUUUCUAUUUUUUUUUCUUUAUUUUUUUCUUUCUUCUUUUUAUUUAUUCCAUUCGUAUUCGAUAUUCUUACGUUGUUAAUUUUAUUGACGAGUAAAUAUCGAUAAGUUUUUAAAUAAAUAAAUAUAUAUAUAUAUGUUACAUUUUAACGAUCCAAAUAACGAUUUAAAAAGCGAUAUUAGAAAUAAAUUGUGAUUCAAUCUCCAAGAGAAAGUCGAUUUAAAUAUUAAAGAUAUAUUGCGAGUAAGUACGUUGAUCGAUUUUUUUUUUGUUCUUUUUUUUUUGUUCUAUCGAUAUUCGAUAAUAUACAGUACGAUCGAUGUGACAAUUGAAAAAAUACAAUUUUAAAAUGUAAGUAAUGAUUUACAUAAAUUUGCUUCGAUAAAAUUUAAUCGCGUAGCUUUGUUGUUUACGCUAAGAUGGAAGGCAACACGUUAGUAAAUGUAUUUAUCAUCGUCACGCUUAUCAUAAAAGCUGUCCUGUAGUGUUCACGCGCGUUAAGCCGCGUUAAGCUACAUUUAUGAUCUUUCACUUGCAUUCGGACAGUUUGAUAUAUGGCCUUCGUGUGUUCUUUUAUUGAAUAUAUAUAUAUAUAUAUAUAUAUAUAUAUACACAUAUAUAUACACACACGUAUAUAUAUAUAUAUAUAUGUAUGUAUGUAUGUAUGUAUGUAUGUAUGUAUAUGGGUACAUAUAUACGUACACAUUUCUUUCUCUGUAAAUGAUUAGGAAAAGCGAAAUUGUUAUUCACAAAUUUCGCAGUUGACGACGAAAAGCGCUUAGUAUAAAAAUUCGUAAAAGAGAGAGAGAAAGAGAGAGAGAGAGAGAGAGAGAGAGAAAAGAAAAGUAAAAAAAAAAAAAGAAAGAAAGAAGAAAAGAAAAAAAUCCUUCGCAUUUGCACUCUGUUUUCGUUGUUUUCGUAAAGUGAGACAACUACGAAGCGUGGAUAAAAAAAAAAUAAAGGGAAAAGAAAAUUCUCUUUUACGAGGUUGAACGAAUAGUUCGAACGAUUUUAUUUUUCUUUUUAUUUUAUUUUUUCUUUUAUUUUUUUGUUAUUAUUUUAACCAAACGAAGAUCACCAAAGGAUGUAGAUAAUUUUCUACACGUCACAGAUGCGUCCACGAAGCCUAAACCUGCUUUCGAUUUCACUUGACCACUUGCGUGUUUUAUGGGGUGCAAGAGGGAUGAAAAGGGGGAAGAUCGAGGGUUAUUCACAACUUAAUCCCAUCUGUUUCGACUACUCGAUCAACCCAAGAGACUUUUAACACCUGUGUCUUUCUUUUUGCGAUAUAUUAACACGUUCCGUGCCGUUUGUGUUUCAUCGAUGAAUACAAUUUCCGAUUGUUCGAUAUUUUCGAUUAUAAGAUAAAGAAACAAAUAGAUCGUAUUAUUGAUAAUGUUAAUGUUAAAUAAAAUUUCAUUCAAGUAUUAUCUUUCGUUUUGCAUUACACAUAUAUAUAUAUAUAUAUAUAUAUAUAUAUAUAUAUAUAUAUAUAUUGCGAACCUUUUUCUUUCGAUUUAAUAACGAUUAAAUUAAUUUCUUUUUUCCUCUUCAUUUUUUGCUUUGUUUGCUUCUCCUUUUUCCUUUUGUUCUCUUUUCUCUCUAGUUAUUCGAGAAAUAAAAUCGAUUUAAUUAUCGAAUAUAAUGUGACUGAUAUAACGGGAAAAAAUUAAUGACAAGUUGCAUUUAAAUCGUUGUGUGUCGGCAUGGGAUGUGUUAAAAAAAAAAAAAAAAAAAAAAGAGAGAGAGAGAGAAAAAAAAUGAAAUAGAAAUGAGAGUUCGAUAUUAGAUCGAAGAGAUCCCAUUCGCGUUCGUUUUUAUAAUUAAAACGAUUUCAGGAAAAAAUAAUUCCAAUUCUUUUCGCUUCGUGUCUUUUGCAAUCGAACUUGGACUACGAACUUCUCUUACGGUAUUUACAUUUUAUAAUAGGGAAAUAUGGAAAAGAGGUGUCGUUUCCCAAAGGAUUUUUUUCUGUUCUUUCUUCUUUUCUUUUUAUUUUUUUUUCUUUUUUUGCUUGCUCGCCUUUUUCUUCUCUCUAUAUUUCUCUCAAUAUCUUUCGAGCAUUCCGAUUAAUUACUUUCGCGAGAAGAGACGAACACGAAGGAUCUACACACACACAUAUAUAUAUAUAAAAUAUAUAUAUAUAUAUAUAUAUAUAUAUAUAUAUAUAAGGGAAAAAAUAUUAUUAACAAUAAAAUCUAUUGAUCGUUAUCAAUAUAGAUAGAUACGUGGCUUAUGAAUGUAUUUAAAAUGCUGCUGCUUUUUUUUUGUCGUUAUUCUUCUUCUUAAAAUGGAAUUAAAUUAAAACUUGAAAAUGAUUGAAUUAAAUAAAAGAAAUAAAAUAUUUGCGAAACGCCGAAAGAGAGGAUAGCUAGAUUGAGCGUUGACAUUUUUUCUUCUUUCUUUCUUUCUUUUUUUUUUUUUUUUCAAUAUCAAUAGUCGCGUCGUCGUUCGAAAAUUUCUUUCUCACAAUUUUACUCUUGUAAGAUAAGUUACAAUAAAAAAGAAACGGAAAGAGCCAGAAAAUAAGUAACUUCUCUUUUUUGAUCGAUUCUGCGAGAUAGCCCUUUUUUGAUUGCGGUUGAAGCAAAAAAAAAAAAAAUAGGUAGAGAGAGAGAGAGAGAGAGAGAGAGAGAGUAAGAUGUAAGAGUGAUUUUAUUGUGAAAGUCGCCGUAAAGAAAUUAAUAAUAGUAAUAUGAACGAGAAAAAAAAGAAAAAAAAAAUUACCAUUAACAAAAAAGAAAAUAAUAAGAAAAAUGAUUACGUAUAUUAAUUAUUAAAUAUAUUAUAAUAUAUAUAUAUUGCGAAACUUAUCUUAUAUUUUUUUUUGUUAAGUCGAGAUAACGUCGAUGAGAUAGUGCGCUCGGAAAAAUUUUUUUUUUCUUUCUUUCUUUCUUUUUUUUUUAUUAUUAUUCUUUUUUUAUUUUAAAAUUUUUAACCACUUAAUCUGAUUCAAUUUACGUAACGAGAGAUCGGUUCGAUGGAUUCGCAUUAAUUUUUUACCGAGCGUAGAAAUCGGAAACAAUAUAUAUAUAUAUAUAUAUAUAUAUAUAUAUAUAUAUAUUUCUGUGUUCUUUUUAUUUAUUUAUUUAUUUAUUCUCUUUUCUUCUUUUUUUUUUUGUUAUUAUUCGAAUCUCGAAAUACAUACGCAUAUAUAAAAUUUCAAUGAACCCCUCUCGCAAGAAUUUUCAAUCUAAAAUGUUUUACGCGAAUUUAAAAAAAAUAUUCCAUUCCUUCGAAAUUUAUAUUAAAAAUAUAAAAUAUGAAUUAUCGAAAAGAUUCGAGAUAACUUUUCGAUUAAUUCUGCACGUUCUCCAUCGGCGUUUUAAUUAUUAUCCAUUAAGGCACUAACGAGUCGUUGUUCUAAUGAAUAAUAAUAUUACUAUUAUUAUUAUUACUACUACUACUACUAUUAUUAUUAUUAUUAUUAUUAUUAUUAUUAUUAUUAUUAUUAUUAUUAUUAUUAUUAUUAUUAUUAUCAUCGAUAGAAAUCAGUCUGUACAUAUUGUCUUCGUUGUCGUUUAUAAUCGAUCACUGUGACCUACAUAAUAUCUAUGUACGUAUGCAUGAUGCGUGUCCGAAAAGACGAAUGAGAAAAUAAGAUGAGAUGAGAUGAGAUGAGAUGAGAUGAGAUGAGAUGAGAUGAGAUGAAAUGAAAUGAUAUGAGAUGAGAUGAGAUGAGAUGAGAUGGGAGUACAAGACGAGUACGAGUACGAGUAUUAAAAUGAAUGAAUGAAAGAAAGAUAGAACGAAUGAGCAAGAAAGAUAAGGAGAUACAUUUGUCAUUGCUCGAAUGUAUGCGUUUACGGUAUGUAUGUAAGUGGGUGAACAUCGAAGAUCUUGACAAAAGUUUUUCUCUUGGCAAGAUUAAUUAAAUUUAAGCUAAUCCAUUGUUACUUUACAAACAAUAAUUAUAUCGAUGUCUGAAGAAAAUGGAUGUUAGAUUAUGAAUGAAACGGUAGAGAGAAUGAAAUAAUAAAAGAAUGAUUAAAGAGUUCUGUGUGCGUGUGAGAGAAAGAGAAAAUGUUCGUAUAUGUCCACAUGUGUGUGUGUGUGUGUGUAUGUUUUACGAAGAAGGAAACUAAAGAAAAAUAGAAAGAUAACUACAAGUAUUGUAAUCAUAAUAUGCAUCGCGUUUUGCAAUAUUUCGAUUCUAUCGUUUAUUAAAUCUAUCGUAUUACUUUUCUUUUCUUUUCUCUCUCUCUUUUCUUUUUCUGAUAUUUUAUUUUUUUCUUUUUGUUUUUUCCUUCUUCUUCUUCUUCUAUUUUAUUUUUCUUUUUUGUUUCUUUUCUUUUUAAUUUUUCUUCUUUUUCUUCGUCUUCUUCUUCUUCUACAUCUUCAUCUUCUUCUUCUUCUUCAUCUUCUUCUUCUUCCAUUUUAUUCUUCUUUUUCUCUCUUCUUCUACAUCCUCUUCUCGCUUUCUUUUUUAUUUCAUUUUACUCUCUUAUUUUACUUUUCUUUUUUUUAAUUUUUUUUUUUUUCUUCAAUGUCUUCUUUCUAUUUUUAUUUUACUUUAUUUUAUUUUAUUUUAUUCUCUUCUUCUUAUUUUACUUUUCUUUUUUGUUUUCUUUUCCCUUCUCCUUUUUCUUCUUCUUCUUCAUCUUCUUCUUUUAAAUAUGCACUUCGACAAACCGACGCGCGCAUUACUUAUUUACUAUUACCACGUAAUUAUUUACUACGUAAACACUCAGUAAUGAAACUUUUCAAAUGCACGCGCACGAUCGAAGCCUUUGCUGCUAAGCCUUAUCUUGUAUAACACGAAAUUUAAAUAAACUUGACGAAAUGGACGAAAUGAAGAUAUUUUUUUCUUUUCAAUUUCUCUCUCUCUCUCUCUCUCUCUCUCUCUUUUUAUCAUCUCACUGUCAUAGUUCACACGUUUAAAUACAUUAAUACGAUUCUAAUGAAUUUGCUCGACUCUUCGAGAAAUCAUUCGUUUUUUUAUUGUUGUUGUUGUCGUUAUUGUUAUUUUUUCAUUCACUUCUGUUUUCAUUUUUAUUCUUUUAUCUCUUUUUAAAUCUUGAAAGAAAAAAAACCAUCACAGGUUCAAACUUAAAAAUUUCAUUUCAAGAAUUACGAAUUAUUCUACGAAAUUUCGUGUAAUAUUAAAUCCCGUCGUUUAGUUUCUAAUAUUAGAACGUAUAUAUGCAUUCUAUUUCAAAAUUUUUCCAUCAUUCAUAUCAUUUUUUUUCUUUCUUUUUUUUUUUCGAAAAAACGCGCACGUCGAAAUUCCGUUUAAAAUUUUUUACGAAUUGUAGUUACGCAAAAUGUAAUAUUUCGCGUAAUAAUCAAUCGAAAAUCUUUUUACACGUAAUAUCGAUUAUUUAUUUAAAAAAAAAAAAUAAAAGAAAUAAAGGAAAAAGAGAAAUUAAAAUUAACAUUGCUUACGUUACAUUUUUAAUUUUCUUUUCUUUUUUUUUUUUUUCUUUUUUCUUAAUCCUUUAACGUUACCAUUAACAUUAUUUUCUUUCGGAAAACACAAUCAACUUUGAUCAAUGUACAAAUCUCUCUCUCUCUCUCUUUCUCUUUGUAUUACCAACUGAAGUUACGACGAAGGAGACACGGAAGUAUGGGGUGUCAAGAGCGUUGUUAGGUAAAUUACCUAUGUACCUAAUUCAUAGGAAGUACUCCAAAGGAUAAACAAAGUGAAUCCGUCGUGUCCGUUGUAAUCCUGCCGUAGUAUUCCAAGUAAGUCAAUAAAACUGUCAGAUCGAAGGAAA